rnacentral:rRNA from 1 species
UACGUAGGGGGCAAGCGUUGUCCGGCUUUAUUGGGCGUAAAGAGCGUGUAGGCGGCCUGACAGGUCUGCUGUGAAAACUCGAGGCUCAACCUCGAGAUGUCGGCGGAAACCGUCUGGCUAGAGUCCGGAAGAGGAGAGUGGAAUUCCCGGUGUAGCGGUGAAAUGCGCAGAUAUCGGGAAGAACACCCGUGGCGAAGGCGGCUCUCUGGGACGGUACUGACGCUGAGACGCGAAAGCGUGGGGAGCGAACAGG